AGUGAACGCUGGCGGUAGGCCUAACACAUGCAAGUCGAACGGCAGCACAGUAAGAGCUUGCUCUUACGGGUGGCGAGUGGCGGACGGGUGAGGAAUACAUCGGAAUCUACUUUUUCGUGGGGGAUAACGUAGGGAAACUUACGCUAAUACCGCAUACGACCUACGGGUGAAAGCAGGGGAUCUUCGGACCUUGCGCGAUUGAAUGAGCCGAUGUCGGAUUAGCUAGUUGGCGGGGUAAAGGCCCACCAAGGCGACGAUCCGUAGCUGGUCUGAGAGGAUGAUCAGCCACACUGGAACUGAGACACGGUCCAGACCCCUACGGGAGGCAGCAGUGGGGAAUAUUGGACAAUGGGCGCAAGCCUGAUCCAGCCAUACCGCGUGGGUGAAGAAGGCCUUCGGGUUGUAAAGCCCUUUUGUUGGGAAAGAAAAGCAGCAGGUUAAUACCCCGCUGUUCUGACGGUACCCAAAGAAUGAGCACCGGCUAACUUCGUG
rnacentral:rRNA from 1 species